rnacentral:lncRNA from 1 species
CCAGGGUCAAGGGAGUGGUUUCCUGCCUUUGGAAGCAGCUGGGGACAAAGCCAGUUCCUCUGAGGAGUCAACCCAAUCCUUAACCAGAACUAAGAGCCCCUGGGAGAUCAGGCACAUCUUUAUUACUCUUGUCUCAAAGAAAAAAAAAGGUUUCAGAUCAACCAACAAAGAAAACGUAUACAAGAUCUGGCUCCUGCAGCCCCCCACCCCCAUACUGGAGGAGAGGGAAGUGAAUUUUAUCUCCUCUCCUACAGAACUAAUUCUGCUCAUUGCCUUUAGUUUGAAUUCAACUGAAGAGACCAUUAGACUCAGGAGACUUGAAUCUAAUUCCCAUCUCUGACAAGUACUGUCUGUGUGACCCUGGAGAAGUCACUUAAUCCUUCUGUGCCUCAGUUUCAUUGUCUGUAAAAUGAGGAUAUUAUUUGUGGUCCUUACCAGGAAGCUCACCUGAGAUAAUAUGUGUAGAGUACUUUGCAAACAUUAGAGUGGCUACAUAAAUGGGAUCUACCACCACCACCAUCAGCAUCAUCCUCCUGGGUCUAUUUUCUUUAUUUUGAAUGCUAGUUUCCUCAUGAUAACUGAGUAAUCUGGUGACAUUUGUAUCCAAGGAUCUAUAGGGAUCAUGUAUAUUUAAGUUCAGCAUUUGAUUUGGAGCUUUUCUAUGACUCGAUUAAAAUGGCCAAUUACUUCCUCCAACCCCUGGAGCUGAGCUGGGGGAGGAGCUGGCCCAGAGUUCCAUCUCAGGCUUUUCUCUCCAAUCCUCAACCCAGAGCAAGUCUGACGUUUUCAGCCUUGUAAAAAAUUAAAUACAGAAGGGAGGUCAGCAGCCAAUUCUUCCUAAGAGAUGGGUUUACAUUUAUUUCUCUUUGUGCCCCAUUCUGAAAUCCUUAAUCAAACCAACUUCCCCCAAGUCACUGUGAAGUUGAUGUUAAUUGGAGUUUUGCCUGGAGAAUAAGGACUGUACCCUGCAGGCUGUUGCUUCCUCUUGCUUAAUAACCUCACCAAAUCUUAUUUUGAAAAGGUUAAUUGCAAUUUUUUUUAGCUUUUACUUUUUUUCUUGGGAAAAUGGCCUUUUGUAACCAAAUCUGUACACACGGUGCAAAUUUAAUAAUUGGUCAAGAGAUAAAACCUAACUGCUUCAGAAAUAGACUUGAAAUCUGAUUGAAAAUUGGCACUGAAGAGGGAGGCUCAAAUGAAGCACUUGAAAAAAAAAUGUGUCAUCUAGGAAAACCUAUAUUUCUUUUUUUUAAAAUUAAUUAAUUUAUUUUUAGUUCUUAACAUUCACUUCCAUGAGAUUUUGAGUUCCAAAUUUUCUCCCUAUCUCUCCCCUCCCCCCUUCCCAAGAUAGCAUGCAAUCUGAUAUAGGCUCUAUAGUGAACCUAUUUUCACAUUACUCACAUCAUUAAGAAGAAUUAGAACCAAUGGGAGAAACCAUGAUAAAGAAGAAACAAACAAACAAAAAAAGAAAAUAAAGAGAGAUCUGCUUUGAUCUGCA